GCGCCUAUCUUUUUGCUGUUCAUACGAAAUGAACGUCAUAAUUUUCAAUGGAAAAGAAAAGGGCGAAUGAAAAUAUUUUUAUCACAUGUUUGACGUCGCGGGAUUGUAAUAAAGCCAUUACAUAAAAUUGAUAAUACACUAGUGUCAUUUAAGAAAUAAUAAGUUUUCAAACGUGGUUUACCGCAGAAUAACCCGAGAUAGAUUUUGCUCUACAUGUAUCUAAGCCCCCAGCUUUUAUGGUACAACUUUCGAACACUUCCGUCAGUCCAUCGGGAGGUGGCACUAUAACCUUUGAUAACGUCAAAACCAAUGUCGGUAAAUACUACAAGCCAAACCCUGGGAUUUUUGUUGUGCCCUUCAACGGCACCUACAGCUUUACUCUUAAUAUAGCUUCCUUUGACAACGUCGCACUUGCAAUCAUGGCCAACAAUGUGGUACAUGGUUGGACAGGUAGACAACGAAGUUAAGUCAGCAGAUGCAGUUGUAGAACUGAAUAUGGGAGACACAGUGUUUAUCAGCGUACUUAUUUCUCCAGAAAACCCGGUACUAUCGCGUUGCACAUUUACGGGUGUCCAGUCACACGGUUCUAUUUGUGUCCGUACACAGUACUGUAAUGACUGUUGUACAUGCUAAAAACUAAUCUUUAGCGGAGGAAACGAAACGAAAGCUAAAACAUCUGACCUACAUUUUGAAUUCAAUAAAUGCAAUAUUUGAACAAUU